rnacentral:rRNA from 1 species
CCUGGCGGCCUUAGCGCGGUGGUCCCACCUGACCCCAUGCCGAACUCAGAAGUGAAACGCCGUAGUGCCGAUGGUAGUGUGGGGUCUCCCCAUGCGAGAGUAGGGAACUGCCAGGC